rnacentral:rRNA from 1 species
CCUACGGGUGGCUGCAGUGAGGAAUAUUGGUCAAUGGACGCAAGUCUGAACCAGCCAUGCCGCGUGCAGGAAGACGGCUCUCUGAGUUGUAAGCUGCUUUUGUGCGAGGGUAAACGCAGAUACGCGUAUCUUUCUGCACGUAUCUUACGAAUAAGAGUCGGAUCACUCCGUGCCGUCAGCCGCGGUAAUACGGAGGGUUCAAGCGUUAUGCGGAUUUACUGGGUUUAAGGGGUGCGUAGGCGGUCGGAUAAGUUAGAGGUGAAAUCCCGAGGCUCAACUUCGGAAUUGCCUCUGAUACUGGCAGGCUAGAGAGUAGUUGCGGUAGGUGGAAUGCAUGGUGUAGCGGUGAAAUGCGUAGAGAUCAUACAGAAUACCGAUUGCGAAGGCAGCUUACUAAGCUACGUCUGACGUUGAGGUACGAAAGCGUGGGGAGCAAACAGGAUUAGAUACCCUUGUAGUC